CAAUCACUCCAAACCUCUGGUGUGGGUGUCCCUGGGAGCCGUCGUUCUCCCGUGCCACCAACGGCAGCCAUGGCUUGAAACCCGGACUCCUCCCUUCGCUCCUCCAGCCACACCUAAUGCCAGAGGACCCUAGCACCUGGCGCCCAGGAGCAGUUCAAUAGACGCUGGCUGGAAGAAUCGAAGAGGAAAAUCCAGAACCUUGCCACAUUCCUGCACAUGGUGGAUGCAGAUUAGUGAAUGGUUCUGGCACCAGACCUUCUCAAACUGCACUGCCCAGCUGAACCCCCCUGGCCCCCAUCACCUCUUCACUGCACCCC